rnacentral:rRNA from 1 species
AAGCAAUUGACGCGGGGCCCGCACAAGCGGUUGGAGCAUGUGGUUCAAUUCGACGCAACGCGAAGAACCUUACCUGGGCUUGACAUCCGCUGACAGCUACGGAAACGUAGUCUUCCCCGCAAGGGGACAGCGAGACAGGUGCUGCAUGGCUGUCGUCAGCUCGUGUCGUGAGAUGUUGGGUUAAGUCCCGCAACGAGCGCAACCCUCAUCCUUAGUUGCCAUCAUUGAGUUGGGAACUCUAAGGAAACUGCCUCGGUUAACGGGGAGGAAGGUGGGGAUGACGUCAAGUCCUCAUGGCCUUUAUGUCCAGGGCUACACACGUGCUACAAUGGGCGGUACAAAGGGUUGCAAUCCCGCGAGGGGGAGCUAAUCUCAAAAAGCCGCUCUCAGUUCAGAUUGGAGUCUGCAACUCGACUCCAUGAAGGCGGAAUCGCUAGUAAUCGCGGAUCAGCGUGCCGCGGUGAAUACGUUCCCGGGCCUUGUACACACCGCCCGUCACACCAUGAGAGCUGACUGUACCAGAAGUCGCUCGGCU